UUGGCUGAAGCGUUUUGGCUUGGCAGAGGUGUUUUGGUUUUGGGCAUUGGCAAUUUGGCAGGGACUACUUCGAGGGAUCAUAACAGGCCCAAAUCAUCAACUCCAUCAUCAGCCCACCAUUCAUCAUUCAACAUUCACAUUCCAUCCCUCCGUUCCUCCACACCCGUAAUUCAUCACCCAACAGAUUCACCUCACACAUUCUUUUUCUCUCCAUAACUCAACACGCACUCUAGGCAUCAUCAUCCAUCACAUACACGACAUUCCAAACUCCAUCACCGCGACCCUCGCCACGUUCACCACCGACAACCCAUAGCCUUCAUUUUCCUCUUCCACUAUCACCUGAAACAACAACUACGGUCAAGCAACGAGAUCAAUUUCCAGCCACUCCCCACGCCCAUGGUAUAAUCACAAAAUAUCUCCUUCAACUCUCAAACAGAAAAAAACACACACGCCUCUUUUACUCCCAACUUCCACCACCUUUUCCAUUACCAUCACCCCAACCUGUCUCAACAUCCAGAGCAGAAAAUAGAAAUCAGAGUGCAUAAAGACAAUUGACGAAAGCAAGUUCUUAGUUCAAACAGAGAAGAAAAAAAUCUCAUCAUUCUUCAUCGUCAAUGCCUAACCAGAGAAGAGUUAGGGGAGGAAAGCGGUUGGGGUCACCAACACAUGCUCCAUUCCUCUUGGUGGCUUGGUGACGGUGUCGAGGCGGAGAGCGGUAACACUGACGAUGCUCUGGCGUCUGAGGAAGGUGGUCGUGGCGGCAUCGUUGGUUGCAGUUUCAAGUGCUAAGAAGGGAAGUAGAGAAGGAGAAGGCGGCGAAGCCGUAACCGACGAUAGCUGCAGUGGAGCGUGGUGUCGCCAGCAACGCUGAGACGAGCGGAGGGUGAUGCGACGGCUGAUACGGUAGCCCUAGCUUGGUGGCAGUGGCGUUGUUCACCAGCCAGAGAAUCUCGCGCAAGAAGAUAAAUUGGCAUACUCCGAUCUGUGGCCAGCACUGCGUCAGGCGGGGAGUGGUGGCCGUUCCGGUGGACGCGACGACGCCCUAGGCCGUGGUUCGAGCCGGCCGGUUGGUGGUGGGAGGCGGUGAUGGCGCGGUGGCGUAGCCCGAGCGGUGCGAGAGAGAGACCUUGCGUCUGGAUCCCGAGAGUGUGGAAUGAAUGGGGAAAUUAAGAGACCCCUAAAGUUUCUGCCCUAAAGUUUCUGAACCUAAGGGCCUUGGGCUUGAGUGAUGGGCUGGCGUUUCCUCCUUGCACCCCUCAUCUCUUUUGUUUCACACUCCCCAUCCAAUUUUCUGCAAACAAGAAAAAGGGGAGAUUGGGCCGGUGCAUGCUAUCUCAAGCUGCACACCCAAUUUCCAGCCAUACACCCCUGACAGAGCACAAGGUUGGAGAAAGAGGCCUCGGGCCUGGUCUGCCUCCGUACUUCCUGGCGACGCGCCACGCUAUUCUCACCCCCACCGUGUUUCUGCAAACAAAAAAAGGGGUCUUGGGCCUGACCAGCACCUACCAAAUGCACCCCCAAUGUUCAUCAGUUGAACCCUUGUCCUUGGGGCCUAGACCAAGAAAUUUCGGACUGCACCCCCUUUGCUUCCAUUCGCAGCCCCCUCCUCUUUGGACUUAAACCCACUCUGGCAACCAAUCAAAAGAACUCUUUUCUGCACCCCUGGUUUUGUCUUCUN
rnacentral:lncRNA from 1 species